rnacentral:rRNA from 1 species
AUGGCGCUCCUCUUCUUCGACCUCAGCCUCCUCCCAUCCCCCAACCCCAACUCCCGCCUUCUCGCCGCCGCACGAGCCCUCGAGCUAGGCUACGCUGCCGUUGCCCUCGACCACCCGCACCGCGGCCUACUCGCCGACGCCGACCGCUGCCACACCGCUCCCUUCCCCGCCUUGUCUUCCCUCCCGCUCCCCCCCUCCGCCUCCCUCCACCGGUCCCGCAAUGGAUCCCCUGCCUCCGAGCCCUUCCGCCAGUACACGCGCAUCACCCUCUCCCUCGACUCCGCCGCCGCCGCCGCGUCCGCGCUUGCCCCCUCCGCCGCCCGCCUCCUCCGCACGUACGACAUCGUCGCGGCGCGCCCUCUCACCCAGGCCGCGCUCGACCACCUCUGCCAGUCCGCCACAGAGAUUGAUGUCAUCUCCAUCGACUUCUCUCACAAACUGCCAUUCCGUCUCAAGCUCCCAAUGAUCAAGCUUGCACUACAGAGGGGGAUACACUUUGAGAUUGCAUACUCUCCCCUCAUCGACGAUGUCAAUUCAAGGAGACAAGUCCUGGCCGAAGCCAAGCUGUUGGUGGACUGGACUAAAGGAAAGAAUCUCAUCAUUUCAAGUGCUGCUCAUAAUGCUAAUGAAAUUAGAGGCCCCUAUGAUGUCAUAAAUUUAUGUGCAUUUUUGCUUGGUCUUUCUAUGGAGCGAGCCAAAGCUGCUAUGUCCGUAAACUGCAGGUUGCUUAUUUCCAAGGCUACGAGGAAGAAACAUUUCUACAAAGAGACAAUUAGAAUUGAUAGACUGUUACCAAAUGAGCAACUAAAUUCAACAAAGUAUAAGGUUGGUGACUGGAUUGGUUUGGAUCCUAUAUCUUUUAAAGGUGAUCUACAAACUUUGCAGACAAAUCUAGAACCUUCUCCCAACAAAGAUGAACUACCUGUUUCACCCAUGAAUUUGCGCACCAAAGUGUUGUGUCAAAAACGUCACGAUGCUGAUGUGUCUCUCUUUGCCGACCGAUUAGAGCAGUCUACUGAUGAUAGUGAAAUUCCAGUUGAAACUCAAGAGGAAACCUUACAGGCUAACAGAGGUGAAGCUCACAGUGGCUCUGUUCACACCAUCAAGGUUAACCCUGAAAACAAUGAAAUUGUUAUGGCUGGCAGUGUGCAGGCUUGUUUUGCCUCUUCUGUUGACCAGAAAUGUAUUGAGGAGCAUGUUGAAUUUGUUGAGGAUGCAAUGGAAUUAGAUUCUACAGAAUUGUGCACAUUAAACCUCAUUUCAGGUGACAGUACUCCUUUAUCCUCCGAUGUUAAGUUACCAUGUUCUUCUCUUCCCCAGAGUAUGGAGCUUUUUCACACUAGUCUUGAGAACAAGGGUCCUGGCCAACCUAGUGAAAUCGUAGAUCAUACUAAUACUUGUGCAAAUCAUGGGUCUAUCCGCACAUCUGGUGAGAGGGAGGAACAGGCACCUCUGGAUCAUGAAAUUGUUUCAUGGUCUGAUGUUUGCCUCGAGGGUAAGCGCUUGGACAUACCUGAUGAUGUUCCAGUUAACUCGGAGACUCACAGAGAUGCUGCGGAAUCAUUGGGGUGCUCAACUGGUGGGCGAGAUGAUGAGACGCCAUUAAAUCUUACAGUUCCGUUGAGUACUGAUUUAUGCGAAGACAUUGUACUGCCAGCUCAUCAAGUAGAGCAAAAUGUGGAUGAAGACGUCGAAAAUACUGAGAGUUAUAAGGUGGAACCGGUUUACAGAAAUGCAAUAAGAAUGAUUUCAGUGGAAAAUACUCUCAGCGGUCAAGAUAUCACUUCAGCUGCUGUUGUUUAUGAUAAGGGGUCCAGUGACGGAACUUGGGCAAAUAAUGAAUUGGAAGAACAAAAUUUAAAGAAACCUGAUGCUUCUUUAGAGAAAGAUGUUGCUAAAAUAGAUGAGGGGUCACCAAAUUAUGAUCAUGCAGAUGAUAAGGUGGAUAUAUCUACAGCUAGAUCAGAAAAGCGAAGACAAAAACUAUUGUUGCACGGCCCCUCGUAUAUUCCUUUCUUGGGCUUUCUUAAGCCUGUGUCCUUCAAGAAGAAAGUAUGCAAAGUCGUAUCUAGAAGAAAAUCAUAA